GGAAUGCUCCCCAGGCUCCAUCUUCGGUGAUUUUAGAAAAUGAGAGAGCUGGUAGGAGAAGGGAAAUACAGACACGUGAAGGCCCAGCAAGAGUGGGACAAUUACCCUGAAGACCAUCCUGGUUUGGAGGCACUCUUCCAAAGCGACGAAGACUCGGAAAAAAGAGCAAUGUGAAAGGCAGACAGGAACUGGAGUCCUCGUCACAGAGUACAGACACUGGAGUUUGGCUUUUACAGAAUGAGGACACAGACCCUAGAGAAGGUUUGCUAAUCACACCUGAUGAUUAGUCCCGAUUCAACGCCGCUUCAGCAUCUCCUAUGAACAUCCAGAAUGUGGAAGGCACCAGUAAAACAGCAAGUGCUCAAGGGCUGUGAAUUUCUACCACCUACAUACAAGUUACAGCUGCAGGAAAAGGUCCGAGGAGCCAAGCAAGAGCAAGGACAGUGGAAGCA